CCUCCCAUCUCAACAUCAUCCGUGCGCCUCCUCCAGCUGCUCCUAUACAUAGUAUGACCUUUUUUUUUUCUCCUUCCCUUGCUUCCCCCUCCAUCCCCCCCCUCUUCUCUCACCCUGUGCCUACUCCCUUCCCUGCCCACCGGGGGAGUCCGGGGCCAAUGGGCUCCUCCAGAGGAUCAAAUGUCACUAUAAGUUGAGAGCUGCAUCACCUUAGGUCGCUCGCAGAUCCCAGCCCGCCUGUGCCCUCCGUCAGGGAGCUCAGCGCUUCUCUCUGCUCCUCCUAGAAACUCCUCGCCAACAUGUCUGACACCGAGGAAGUGGAUCAAGGAGA